rnacentral:rRNA from 1 species
GACGAACGCUGGCGGCGUGCUUAACACAUGCAAGUCGAACGGAAAGGCCCUGCUUGCAGGGUACUCGAGUGGCGAACGGGUGAGUAACACGUGGGUGAUCUGCCCUGCACUUCGGGAUAAGCUUGGGAAACUGGGUCUAAUACCGGAUAGGACCGCACUUUAGUGUGUGUGGUGGAAAGUUUUUUCGGUGUAGGAUGAGCUCGCGGCCUAUCAGCUUGUUGGUGGGGUAAUGGCCUACCAAGGCGGCGACGGGUAGCCGGCCUGAGAGGGUGUACGGCCACAUUGGGACUGAGAUACGGCCCAGACUCCUACGGGAGGCAGCAGUGGGGAAUAUUGCACAAUGGGCGCAAGCCUGAUGCAGCGACGCCGCGUGGGGGAUGAAGGCCUUCGGGUUGUAAACUCCGUUCGCUAGGGACGAAGCUUUUUGUGACGGUACCUAGAUAAGAAGCACCGGCUAACUACGUG